CAGGAGGUGGAGGCUGCAGUGAGCCAAGAUCGCACUCCAGCCUGGGUGACAGAGCAAGACUCUCUCUCAAAAAAAAAAAAAAAAAGACAAAGUUGUGUGUAGGGAUUUCUGGUAGAGGGAACAGAAAGAUGGAGGCGCUGAGGCAGGAGUGAUGGGCAGGUCUGAAGAGUAGAGCUCAGUGCAGUGAGGGGGCCAUUAGCAAGGGCCUGGGAGAGAGAAGAGCCGUCGGUGUGGUGGGCUGUGAGACAGAUUCUCAAGGGGCUUCUGGGUCAGGCAAGGGUUCUGGGUUUACUCUGGGAGCAGAAGGUUCUGGAGCAAUAGGAACCCCAACUCCAUCCUGGUCAGAAUGGAGGGUUAUUGUGACCAUGGCUUUCUCUUUUCUCAGGGCACGGAUAUGAGCCUUCAGGGAGACAUUUCUAAUGGAAAAACUGAAAGGAACGCUACACCUAGGACAUUGGGGGUCAUGCAAUUUUGCUGUGAGAUUCCAUCAGGACUCUGCAACCCAGGGGAACACUCUCUCUAAGAAUCUCCUCACACCUUGCACACAGGGAGGGCAGCCCAGCAGGCGGAGGCCCCUGGCAGGCCCGGGGGUGCGGACACUUGGGGAGUCCCUGCGGUGUCCUCUGCAGUGCUGUCUGGGGCUGGAGAAGGCCAAGCCGGUCGUGCUGCUCCAGGCUCUACGGCAGCAGAUACUUUUCUCACCUUUGCUUUUCUCAGGCCCUCCCUUUCCUCCUCCUCCAUCUCGCCUACCCGCUCCUCCUAUUCUUUACUUGUUCUCCACCAAUCUAAUUUUUCUUUUGUGCUUAGGUUGUGGAGGAUUAUUUCUGCACGAUAUAGGAAGGAUAUUGUGAAAGCCCACUGUUAUAAGAAGGAUUCUUGAAACUAAACUAUCCGUGGUUUCUCUGAGAGACUCAAGUCUAUACCCAUCAUACACUAGACAGCACUCCCUCGAGAUUCCAGGUGAAGACUCUGAGGCUGAAGCUUGUGUUUGUUCCUGAAGAAUCGCUGGGAUGCUUGCAUGGCUGACACGGGACCAGACAGGGAAGGAAGGAGAUGGAUCUAAGAGCCCUGUGUCUUUGGGGACCUGGGGGUGGUACGUAUCCCACAGAGCCUUCAGGGAAAUUGUACAAAUUCUGGCUUUUAUGUUGAGUUAAAGGAGCUAUAGGGCAGUUGAGCAAAAGACAUCCAUGUCUUAAUUGUCAAAGGAUUUCUCUGGCUGUUCUGCUGUGUGGAUGGUCUGGGAACAAGGGCAGAGCAGGGGCAUCAGCUGGCAGCUCCUGCAACAAUCCCCAGGUAGGACAUAAUGGAGAUAUCUUUUAUUGUCUAUUUAACAUUAUUUGAAGAAAAAUGAAAAUUUUAAAUUAUUAUCAUGAUUUUACUGUUUAUCUUUAUAUUGUGCAAUACCAGAUUAAAAUACAAAUAUAAAAAAUUUAACUCAUAUGUGGAAUAAUCAAAAUUAAAUCAUUCAUAUUAAUAGCUUACAUAAACAUACAUAUUUCAAUCUUAGUAGAACAGUGGAAAUGCUGCACAAAAAUGAACUCAAUGGUUUUAAUUUCACUUUAAUACACGCUCGCCCUACCAGCC
rnacentral:lncRNA from 10 species